AAGUUGUGAUGAGAAUCAAUG
rnacentral:miRNA from 1 species